UACGUAGGGGGCAAGCGUUGUCCGGAGUUACUGGGCGUAAAGCGCACGCAGGCGGUCUGCUAAGUUUGAAGUGACAGUUGGUGGCUCAACUACCAAAGUGCUUUGAAAACUGACAGACUUGAGGACUUCAGAGGGACACGGAAUUCCGGGUGGAGUGGUGAAAUGCGUAGAUAUUCGGAAGAACACCAGUGGCGAAGGCGACUGACUGGACAAGUAUUGACGCUGAGGUGCGAAAGCGUGGGGAGCAAACAGG
rnacentral:rRNA from 1 species